rnacentral:rRNA from 1 species
GCUCAGCCCUUAACAAAGGCUGUGCCCCAAACAUAUCACGCCCGCCAGAGAAUUACGAGCCACGCUUAAAACUCAAAGGACUUGACGGCGCUUCGAACCCACCUAGAGGAGCCUGUCCUAUAAUCGACGGUACACGAUUCACCCGACCACCUCUAGCCCCUCAGCCUGUAUACCGCCGUCGCCAAGCCCGUCCCCCUGAGGGAGACAAAACGAGCACAAUAGCCUCCCAGGCUAGCACGUCAGGUCAAGGUGCAGCCAAUGAGGUGGAAGAGAUGAGCUACAUUUUCUAACACAUAGAAAUAUGCAACGGAGAGCCCUGUGAAACCAGGGCUGUCAAAGCAGGAUCUAGCAGUAAACUAGGAAAAGAGAGCCUAAUUGAAGUAGGCCACGAAGUGCGU